ACCCUGAUAGUAUAAUGGAUAGAAUAUGUGGCUACGAACCACAAGAUGGGGGUUCGACUCCCUUUCAGGGUG
rnacentral:tRNA from 1 species